AAGUCGUAACAAGGUUUCCGUAGGUGAACCUGCGGAAGGAUCAUUACUGAAUGCCCCAGCUUGCUGGGCUUAUUCCUCCUUGGGAAGCCACUGAAAAUGCGGCGACCCUUGGACACUCACACCUGCACUGUAUCUUCUCCUUUGGUAGGCUUCGGUGCACCUCUUUCCUUGUGAUUAGAGGAUCCGACAACUUACCAGAGGAACCCCCCACAACAUACUGUUCCUAUAGACUGUACCUUUAUUUUAUAAAAUUAUAAAACAACUUUUAACAACGGAUCUCUUGGCUCUC
rnacentral:misc_RNA from 1 species